CCUACGGGUGGCAGCAGUGGGGAAUAUUGCACAAUGGGGGAAACCCUGAUGCAGCGACGCCGCGUGAGUGAUGAAGUAUUUCGGUAUGUAAAGUCCUUUUGUCAGGGAAGAAAAUGACGGUAUCUGACGAAUAAGCACCGGCUAACUACGUGCCAGCAGCCGCGGUAAUACGGAGGGUGCAAGCGUUACUCGGAUUCACUGGGAGUAAAGGGCGCGUAGGCGGGAGAACAAGUCAGAAGUGAAAUCCCAGGGCUUAACCACAGAACUGCAUUUGAAACUGUUCGGCUAGAGUAUGGGAGAGGUAGGGGGAAUUCCUGGGGUAGGGGUAAAAUCCGUAGAGAUCAAGAGGAAUACUAAGUGCGAAGGCGACCUGCUAGAACAUAACUGACGUUGAUGCGCGAAAGCGUGGGGAGCAAACAGGAUUAGAUACCCUUGUAGUC
rnacentral:rRNA from 1 species